GAGUUUGAUCAUGGCUCAGAUUGAACGCUGGCGGCAGGCUUAACACAUGCAAGUCGAGCGGGGACUUCGGUCCUAGCGGCGAACGGGUGAGGAAUGCUUGGGAAUCUGCCUAGUAGUGGGGGAUAACGUUUCGAAAGGAACGCUAAUACCGCAUACGCCCUACGGGGGAAAGGGGGGGAUCUUCGGACCUCUCGCUAUUAGAUGAGCCCAAGUCGGAUUAGCUAGUUGGUGAGGUAAAGGCUCACCAAGGCGACGAUCCGUAGCUGGUCUGAGAGGAUGAUCAGCCACACUGGAACUGAGACACGGUCCAGACUCCUACGGGAGGCAGCAGUGGGGAAUAUUGGACAAUGGGCGAAAGCCUGAUCCAGCCAUGCCGCGUGUGUGAAGAAGGCCUUCGGGUUGUAAAGCACUUUAAGCGAGGAGGAAUGGCUCUGGGUUAAUACCCUUGAGCAGUGACGUUACUCGCAGAAUAGGCACCGGCUAACUCUGUGCCAGCAGCCGCGGUAAUACAGAGGGUGCAAGCGUUAACCGGAAUUACUGGGCGUAAAGCGCGCGUAGGCGGUUACGUAAGUUGGAUGUGAAAUCCCCGGGCUCAACCUGGGAAUUGCAUUCAAACUGCGUGGCU
rnacentral:rRNA from 1 species